GUUUUGGUUGGUACGACUUUACGAGUGCUAUUACCCAUUUUAUAACUAUCAGGUCAGAAACUCAGAGAGAGAGAGAGAGAGAGAGAGAAACGAAAAAGAAAAAAUGGGUUUUGUUCUUCGAGUGAGAUUGGCAUCGUUCUUCACAGGAGCUGCAGUGGCGUCGUUUCUGGGGCUUUACAUUCUUCACAAUGAUUACAAGGUUGCCCAUGACUCCAUUUCCCAACAGGUGAAAGGCCUCACUGAGUCACUGGAUAGACGGAUUUCAGCAUUGGAAAAGUUGAAAGAAAAUGAAACUUCACAAAGCGUGGAGGCAACAGAAUAGGUGUAUUGAGGCCUGCUUUUGCAGUUGAUGUUAUGGCUCCCAGCAUUAUUUUUCUUAGUAUGCAAAUGGUUGCAGAGUAGUUAACAUCCCGCCACCCCCUUUUUCUCCUCUCCCUCUCUUGAGGAAUAAUUACUUGUCUUUUGGCAUACUUGAUCUAAUUAAAAACUUGAGUUCUUGUGUUUGUAUUGGAUGAAAACUUCUGCUGAAUUUGAAUCGUGAUGUUCAUGGCAUUCAAAUUGUGUUUGUUGUAGCUUUUGUUCUCAGCAGCUAUCUGCAAGAAGUGAUGCACCAUCUCCAUUAGUUAUUUUAUUUGUGGUUGAGGAGUUGUUUAAUGAUAACGAAAUUGCACUAUAAA